AGAUUUAUCCUGGCUCAGGAUGAACGCUGGCGGCGUGCCUAAUACAUGCAAGUCGAGCGAAUGGAUUAAGAGCUUGCUCUUAUGAAGUUAGCGGCGGACGGGUGAGUAACACGUGGGUAACCUGCCCAUAAGACUGGGAUAACUCCGGGAAACCGGGGCUAAUACCGGAUAACAUUUUGCACUGCAUGGUGCGAAAUUGAAAGGCGGCUUCGGCUGUCACUUAUGGAUGGACCCGCGUCGCAUUAGCUAGUUGGUGAGGUAACGGCUCACCAAGGCAACGAUGCGUAGCCGACCUGAGAGGGUGAUCGGCCACACUGGGACUGAGACACGGCCCAGACUCCUACGGGAGGCAGCAGUAGGGAAUCUUCCGCAAUGGACGAAAGUCUGACGGAGCAACGCCGCGUGAGUGAUGAAGGCUUUCGGGUCGUAAAACUCUGUUGUUAGGGAAGAACAAGUGCUAGUUGAAUA
rnacentral:rRNA from 1 species